UAAAUAGGGCUGCGAGCAUCUGCUCGUGGGCUCUUCUUAGAGGGACUAUGGGUAACAAACCCAUGGAAGUUUGAGGCAACAACAGGUCUGUGAUGCCCUUAGACGUUCUGGGCCGCACGCGCGCUACACUGACGGAGCCAGCAAGUACAACCUAGGUCGAGAGGCCCG
rnacentral:rRNA from 1 species